rnacentral:rRNA from 1 species
CCUACGGGAGGCUGCAGUGAGGAAUAUUGGUCAAUGGCCGGAAGGCUGAACCAGCCAAGCCGCGUGAGGGAGGAAGGCGCAGAGCGUCGCAGACCUCUUUUGCCGGGGGACAAAAGGCCGGACUCGUCCGGUCCUGAGGGUACACGGAGAAAAAGCAUCGGCUAACUCCGUGCCAGCAUCCGCGGGAAUACGGAGGCUGCGAGCGUUUUCCGGAUUUAUUUGGUUUAAAGGGUGCGCAGGGGGGCCUUUGAGCCGGCGGUGAAAUCGCGGGGCUAAACCCCGCCGAGCCGUCGGAACUGGGGGCCUUGAGUGCGGCGGAGGCAUGCGGAAUGCGCGGUGUAGCGGUGAAAUGCAUAGAUA